CAGACAUUUCAGACACCAAAAUGGAGGAACAAAUCAGGCAAAAGGGUUGAAAUUUUUAGAAAUAAAGAAUACUGUCUAUUUCAAAAGGAAAAGAGAGAAAAUGUGUAGGAAACAUGAACCGGGGACUGAGAUGCUGGAGAGAAGGGAGGCAAUCAACAGGACGGUGACGAAGGAAGGCUCCAGGCGACAGCCGCUAAGCAAGCCUGAGGAGCACCUGACCUGGAUGAUCUUUUGAUGUGAUCUUUAGGGAUGUAGAAGUAUUUUCUUAAAGUAAGAGAAUGGGAUGUGCGGAGGGUUCCUCUGCUCCCAGGCUGCAGACAUACAAAAGUUGGGAGGAUUCAUCACAGGCAGACCUGCACUAGAAGAAAUUUUAAAGUUCGCUCUUCGGACCGAAGGAAAAUGAUGGAAAUCUAAAUCCACACAA